GACGCGUCUGUCUUCCCAGCACUCUCUUCGUCCCGAGAGCUAAGUAGUAACGCGAGAAUUCAGCCCAACAUUUAGGGAGCUCGCGAGAGUGGCGAGUUCUUUUUCUUCCAUACGGUUGGAGAUGAGAACAGUUUUAAGUCAAAACAGAAGUGAUGGAUAAAUCAGGAAUGGAUUCCCUUGACUGUCUGGUGUCUGAUGCAGCUGUGGAAGUUGAAAACCAAAGUGAUGACUCCUCAUCUGGUAGCAGCUUAUUUAAAACCCAGUGUGUUACUUCCCCACCUAAAAGAAGGCAAAGAAACCCUACUAGAAAAUUUGUUCAUUCACCUGAAAGUGUUACAGAUUCAUCAAGUGAUUCAUCUAUGGAACCAAAACCAUUGACAUUAAAAGCUAUUUUUGAAAGAUUUAAGAAAAAGAAACGAAGAAAGAGGAAGAGAAAGUACAAGCCAAAAUUAAGAACAAAGGAAGAGCCAGAAGGAAGAAGAAAAACCAAGAGGUCACAAAUAGAUAAGAAACAAAUUAAAAAUAAAGGAUCUAGACUCCCAUUUUUACAAUCUGAGAAUGAAAGAAAACCAUUACCUUGGAGAAAAAUUUUAGCCUUUGAGCAAGCUGUUGCAAGAGGAUUUUUUAACUACAUUGAAAAAUUGAAGUAUGAACACCACCUUAAGGAAUCCUUGAAGCAAAUGAAUGUUAGUGAAGAUUUGGAAAAAGAAGAUCUUGAUAGUCGUAGAUACAAAUAUUUGGAUGAUGAUGGAUCAAUUUCUCCUAUUGAAGAGUCUGUAGCAGAUGAGGAGACAGCACAUCUUGAACAUGAAUGUGAUAUCAAGUUGGUAGAGGAUAGUUGUUUUAUAGUAAGUUCUGACUUCCCAAAGAAGACAAACAUAUCUAGAGCAUGAGAAUAAUAAUAAAGAAACUGCUUUUUCUAAAAAGCGAGCUUCUAAUGCCAAAAAUAUUGGACAGAAUACAGAGUGCCCUUAAAGGAGAUGAACUCAAAGCGGGCUGUCUUCAGAAAAUGUUGCAUUGGUUUGAAGAUAUUUUAACUGGUGUAAGUAUAUUAGAUUAAUUCAUUUUAAUGAGAUACUUGUGGCUUUAUUUAAUUUUGAAUUAUGACAUUGACUGCCAGAAAGCAAUCUUGGAUUCAAAUAUUUUAUAGUGCUGAAGUACUAGUUUCAUUUUACUUGGGAAGUUUUCUUGGGAAGUCUUAAAACAUGGUUUCCCAGUUCAAGUAUACUCAAUAUUUAAAAGGGAGGAUGAAAUUCAAUAGUUAUCUAUACAAGUUACAAGGUUUCAUAAAUAAGAAUGAUAAAAAUUUAUCAAAUUUAUUUUCUUAUUUUGUCUGCUCACAGCAUAGCCACAUAAAAAAGGAGGAGAUAUCUUAUGUACGUAAUAUCUUAUGUAUCUAAGAAUCAUUAAAUUCAUUAGACUGGUCUAUUUAAGAUGAAAAACAUGUUAAGAACCAAACUUCUGCCAGGCACACUGGCACAUGUCUGUAAUCCCAGUGGUUCUGGAGGCUGAAACAGGAGGAUUGCAAGUUCAGAGUCAGCUUCAGCAAUAGCAAGGUGCUAAGCAACUCAGUGAGACCCUGUCUCUAAAUUAAAAAAUACAACAUAGGGCUGGGGGAUGUUUAGUGCUCCUGAGUCAAAUACCCUGGUACUCCCCCCAACCCCCCCUCAAAAAAACUACUAUAAUUUAUACUUACUCCUAAAAGUCACCUACUUGAUGGUACUUUUGGCUCCUACAUAGCUUGGUACAAAUCCAUGCCAUGGGACUAUAAAAUUAUUGCAUUUGAGGUAAUGGAUAGAUAUGGGAAUUCUAGGACUUGCACAUGGUAGACAAGUGGCUGUACUCUUAAGCUAUACCCUACACUCUUGAAAUUAGUUCUUUUUUGUGAUUAUAAUGAAAGUAGCUUUUUUUUUUUUUUUCAUUUUUAACUAUAGUUCCUUUGUGCAUCAGAAAUUCUUGCUAAUCAUUGUUUUCCUCUGGAGUCUUCCAUUUAUCUAAACACUGGUUGAGGUCUAUCCCGAUGGGGCUUCUCUUGUAGCCACUCGUCGUUGGAAACGCCUCAUAGAGUAAUUCUGUGGUUUUGCUUUCCUCAUAGGACUGUUUGUUAGGCCUGUGGGAAGUAACUACAAGACAAUUAAAAAGUAUGAAAGACCUAAUUUUUCUUUUUUAUUUUAGAUAUUGGCAUAUUCCACAUCUGCAGUACUGAGUGUGAUAAUAGGUAAGUUUGUAGGAUUCAAUAUAAUCCUUUGGAAUGCCAUUACAGUUCAAAUGAUGAAUUUAACUGUUCAACUGCUGAAUGACACAGAUAUGAACUAAAACUUUAUUCUGACAGAGCUGAAUGAAUAUGUGUCUGCACAUGAAACUUCCCUUAUGUUUUGGUUUUUAUAUUAGAAUAUUUAUAGUGUCCCUCACUAAAUUUUUCAUUUGGUAAUUUCUCUAUAGGAGUGAAUAUGAUUUGAACUUGGUGAUUUUUAUGUUAGAGAAGUAAGUGAAAUUUUUACUAAUUUAUUAAGGACUUGAAGAUCUUAGGCAUUCUAACAUUACAUGAAGUAUUUCCUACUUCCUCCUUUGUAUUACAUGACAGCUCUCUACAUGAUACCAUGUUUGCCUGGAUUUGUUGAUUCAAUAGGAAAUGAAAGGCAUUCUGACAAACGAAAGGCUUUGACAAUUUGAGCAAGUGACAUUGACAUUUCUAGUGUGGGAAUGGGACUCAGGGCCUUAUACCCUACUCAGUAUUUAGAGAGGCUGGAUCAUUUAAGAGUUUUUUGUCUUUAUACAUACAUGUACUUUUUUUGCGUUACAAUUAUUACACAUAUAUACCAGAUCAGUAGAGUUCUUAAAGGUAGUUUCCUCAUCACAUUUCUUGGCAGCAGCACAACAGACUUGGGAAUAGAGGGAACAGUUUAGUCUCUGCACUGCAUGGUAUCUGCACUCAGCAGUUUCUUCCUGCUGGCGUGUUCAAAGGACAGUGCAAUAGAAAUUCAGUAUCUGGCAUCGUUGGUUUUCUUGGCUUUGUGCAUGUUAAACCUGGUAUUUCUAUUGAUACAGCAUUUUUAUAGGUAUUUGUUAGUUCAUUUAUUUAAUAGUCUUAAAUGGUGAAUUAUGCUUUUCUUUUUGUAAGGUGUCAACACUUGAGAACCAAGCAGAUCCAUCUAUAUCCCAAAGUAUAAGGCUUUGUUGAUAUUGCUUCUGGCUGUUUGUUUUCUCCUAUUUGGAUCCUAAAGUCAAAUUACUUGAAGAAAUUAAAUCCUGAGUAACUUAGGUAAGAUUUUUACUAGUUACAAAAAGGAAGUCUAAUAAUCAUAUUGCACCCAAAUCAGAUUUUUCAGUAUUUAAUCAGUGCUCAACACUGAUUAGCUAUGUUAUGAUGAUGGGCAAUAUGUUCAACUGCUCUGAAUGGGCUGAAUGAAAAUAGCCUUUCUGAACAUCCACAUUUAAAUAUACUAUGUAUUUUCCAAAAUGGUUGUCCUUAUAAUGGUUAGUGAUCAGGGCAUUUUGGGUUCUCUAAAUGAUUGGAUGAUGACCGCAUUUUAAAUAUAAAUUUUUUCACAGGUGGAGAAUUGUGAAAUCAUCUG